ACCACUAAUCGUGGUGGGAGACAGUGUCAGAUGGGCAGUUUGACUGGGGCGGUCGCCUCCUAAAAGGUAACGGAGGCGCCCAAAGGUUCCCUCAGAAUGGUUGGAAAUCAUUCGAAGAGUGUAAAGGCAGAAGGGAGCUUGACUGCGAGACCAACAAGUGCAGGGACGAAAGUCGGGCUUAGUGAUCCGGUGGUUCCGCAUGGAAGGGCCAUCGCUCAACGGAUAAAAGCUACCCUGGGGAUAACAGGCUUAUCUCCCCCAAGAGUCCACAUCGACGGGGAGGUUUGGCACCUCGAUGUCGGCUCGUCGCAUCCUG
rnacentral:rRNA from 1 species